rnacentral:rRNA from 1 species
GGUGGAACAUGUGGUUUAAUGCGAUAAUCCACGCAAAAUCUUACCAACGUGCCCAGCUUUAUUAGUAAUAAGGUUAAUGCCUUUAAUUACAUGAUUUAGUACGGAAUUGCAUGGCUGUCGUCAGUUCGUGCUGUAGAGUUUAGGAUUAAGUUUUUUUAAACGAAUGCAACCCUAUAAGUAAGUUUUUAUAUAAUACUAUAGAUGUUAUUCAUAUAUACUUAUUUAAUCUACAAUUAAUUAUAAGGGGUUCUAUCCUCUUAUUAUUAAUUGUAGUGGUUUUAGGCUGAAGUCAAGUCCCUAUGGUCUUUAUACGUUGGGCCACACACGUGUUACAAGGGUAAAAACAAAGAGACGCAAAAAAGCAAUUUUUAGCAAACCUCUAAAAAUUACCUUAGUUCAGAUUGUUUCAUGAAAUUCUGAAGCAUGAAGAUGAAAUCGUUAGUAAUUGUAAAUUACUAUGUUACAGUGAAAUAAUAGUCAAAUUUUGCACACACCGCCCAUCACGCUCGGAGAGUCGAUAUUGACCGGAGAUUUGAAAACCGCUACGUAAAGUAACGUACCAUUUUU